CAAAGGCUUGGUCCUGACUUUACUAUCAGCUUUAGCUAGACUUACACAUGCAAGUUUCCGCCCCCCCGUGAGAAUGCCCUCAUCCUCCUGCCCGGAGGAGAGGAGCCGGUAUCAGGCACAACUCAGUAGCCCAUCACACCUUGCUUAGCCACACCCUCAAGGGAAUUCAGCAGUGAUAAACAUUAAGCCAUAAGUGAAAACUUGACUUAGUUAAAGUUAAGAGGGCCGGUAAAACUCGUGCCAGCCACCGCGGUUAUACGAGCAGGCCCAAGUUGAUAAAUACCGGCGUAAAGCGUGGUUAAGGAAUUACUUAAACUAAAGUCGAACACUUCCAGAGCUGUUAUACGCAUCCGGGAGUAUGAAGAACCACCACGAAAGUGACUUUACACUAGCCUGAACCCACGAAAGCUAAGACACAAACUGGGAUUAGAUACCCCACUAUGCUUAGCCCUAAAUAUAGAUAAGUAUAUACCAUAUUAUCCGCCAGGGAACUACGAGCAUUAGCUUAAAACCCAAAGGACUUGGCGGUGCUUUAGACCCACCUAGAGGAGCCUGUUCUAGAACCGAUAACCCCCGUUCAACCUCACCUCUCCUUGCUUAUCCCGCCUAUAUACCGCCGUCGUCAGCCUACCCUGUGAAGGACAUAUAGUAGGCAAAAUUGGUACAACCCAAAACGUCAGGUCGAGGUGUAGCGUAUGGAGAGGGAAGAAAUGGGCUACAUUUUCUAUUAAAGAAAAUUACAGAAGGUAGAUUGAAAUGUUUACCCAAAGGAGGAUUUAGCAGUAAGCAGGAAAUAGAGCGUUCUGCUGAAACUGGCCCUGAAGCGCGCACACACCGCCCGUCACUCUCCCCGAGAAUUCCUAACAAAUUAAAUAAAAAAUCAUAAGCACAAAGGGGAGGCAAGUCGUAACAUGGUAAGUGUACCGGAAGGUGUACUUGGAAAAAC
rnacentral:ncRNA from 1 species